rnacentral:rRNA from 1 species
CACGGGGCGCAGCAGGCGCGAAACCUCCGCAAUGCACGCAAGUGCGACGGGGGAACCCCAAGUGCCACUCUUAACGGGGUGGCUCCUCGAGAAGCGUAACCCCGCUCCCGAUAAGAUGGGUUCGGG